UACGGAGGGGGCUAGCGUUGUUCGGAAUUACUGGGCGUAAAGCGCACGUAGGCGGCUUUGUAAGUUAGAGGUGAAAGCCCAGGGCUCAACCCUGGAAUUGCCUUUAAGACUGCAUCGCUUGAACAUCGGAGAGGUAAGUGGAAUUCCGAGUGUAGAGGUGAAAUUCGUAGAUAUUCGGAAGAACACCAGUGGCGAAGGCGACUCGCUGGACAGACAUUGACGCUGAGGUGCGAAAGCGUGGGGAGCAAACAGG
rnacentral:rRNA from 1 species